rnacentral:lncRNA from 1 species
CGGAAAAUCAAGAACUACCGUAACGUAUCAACACCAAGGCUUGAACCAAGAUGACCCACAGUCUUGGAAACAUUGAAGAUGACAACGUAUACGUUCCAUUAUUACCCGUCAAAGACCUCAGCCCAUUAACAUUCGUUUUCCGGCGAAGGAGUCCGGUUUUCGACCCUUGGGUGCUACUUUCCGGUGAGAUCAGUGAGUAGAGCUCUGCUGUACAUAUCAUUGACAACACAUCCCUCGACAGAAAUGACAUACGGAUUGAGUAAGUGAAGAAAUACUCCUCUUCAACAGAACCCAUAAUCCCUCUCUCUCUCUCCGAUCACCGGGCUGUCACAUGAUCUCGUCGGAAACAUUAAUCCAGUCCAGCAGCCGCUCCACCGGAUCUUCCAUGAAACUGGGAUGGUCGGCGACACAAACCAGCUCCGACGACGUCAUCCUCCACCAGCCAUGAUCGAUUAUAUAUAUAUAUAUAUAUUACGUACUACUCUAUCAGAUUUCCCAGAUGGCUACUGCAGUUGCUGUUUGGCUCACCGAUCGACACGGUCACCUUCAACCGAGACGGCGGCGGAACGUGCUAUCGAAAAGAGCUGAAUCCGGUG